AUGAACGCUGGCGGCGUGCCUCAUACCUGCAAGUCGAGCGAACAGACGAGGAGCUUGCUCCUCUGACGUUAGCGGCGGACGGGUGAGUAACACGUGGAUAACCUACCUAUAAGACUGGGAUAACUUCGGGAAACCGGAGCUAAUACCGGAUAAUAUAUUGAACCGCAUGGUUCAAUAGUGAAAGACGGUUUUGCUGUCACUUAUAGAUGGAUCCGCGCCGCAUUAGCUAGUUGGUAAGGUAACGGCUUACCAAGGCGACGAUGCGUAGCCGACCUGAGAGGGUGAUCGGCCACACUGGAACUGAGACACGGUCCAGACUCCUACGGGAGGCAGCAGUAGGGAAUCUUCCGCAAUGGGCGAAAGCCUGACGGAGCAACGCCGCGUGAGUGAUGAAGGUCUUCGGAUCGUAAAACUCUGUUAUUAGGGAAGAACAAAUGUGUAAGUAACUAUGCACGUCUUGACGGUACCUAAUCAGAAAGCCACGGCUAACUACGUG
rnacentral:rRNA from 1 species